rnacentral:rRNA from 1 species
UACGGGGGGGGCAAGCGUUGUUCGGAAUUACUGGGCGUAAAGGGCGCGUAGGCGGCCUGCUAAGUCGAACGUGAAAUCCCCGGGCUCAACCCGGGAACUGCGUCCGAUACUGGUUGGCUUGAAUUCGGGAGAGGGAUGUGGAAUUCCAGGUGUAGCGGUGAAAUGCGUAGAUAUCUGGAGGAACACCGGUGGCGAAGGCGGGUUGCUGGGCCGACACUGACGCUGAGGCGCGAAAGCCAGGGGAGCGAACGGG